rnacentral:rRNA from 1 species
UUUAAAGGUGAGUGUGGAAACAAUGUUUCUGUAGGUACACCUGCGGAGRGAUCAUUACCACACCUAAAACACAUCUCUUCCACGUGAACCGUUUGUGACCGUUGUUGGGCUGCGAUCGUUCGGUCGUUCGAUCGAUCGGUUGAUUGCGGCCAUCACUUGUUUGUCAAACCCAUUCUUUGAAUUCUAAACUGAACAUACUGUGGGGACGAAAGUCUCUGCUUUGAACUAGAUAGCAACUUUCAGCAGUGGAUGUCUAGGCUCGCACAUCGAUGAAGAACGCUGCGAACUGCGAUACGUAAUGCGAAUUGCAGGAUUCAGUGAGUCAUCGAAAUUUUGAACGCAUAUUGCACUUUCGGGUUAUGCCUGGAAGUAUGUCUGUAUCAGUGUCCGUACACUAAACUUGCCUCCUUUGCGUCGUGUAGUCGUCGCUGGGGACGGUCAGAUGUGAGGCGUCUUGUGUGGUUUUCUCUCUCUCUCUCUCGCUCUGUGUGUGUGUGUUUGAAAGAAGCGAGCACAAGUCCCUUGAAAAGUCGGACGCGUAUCUUUGCGUGCGUGGAGUGCUGGUGGGCUGCGGGACGCGUCUGUUGACGAGUCUGGCGACCUUUGGCGCGAGCAUGCUUGGGCACUGUGUAUUGGCGGUAUGUUAGGCGGAGUGUGUCGUCGUCGUUUCGGCGUCGCGCUGUGCUUUGACAAUGCAGCUGAUGCGUGUGGUGUUUGAGCGCUUGUGCUGUAUGGGUGAACCGGAUGGUCGAUGGGGUUUAUCGUGUUUCGUGCGCCGUGGCUGGUGUUCUGUGUUUUGAGCGCGUGAAGAGUGUGUCGCCAUUUGGGAAACUAUUGUGUGUCCUUUCGGAUACGCAUCUCAAUUGGACCUGAUAUCASACAAGAUUACACGCUGAACUCAAGCAUAUCUAUAUGCGGGAGAAAA